rnacentral:rRNA from 3 species
AAAUUGAAGAGUUUGAUCAUGGCUCAGAUUGAACGCUGGCGGCAGGCCUAACACAUGCAAGUCGAACGGUAACAGGAAGCAGCUUGCUGCUUCGCUGACGAGUGGCGGACGGGUGAGUAAUGUCUGGGAAACUGCCUGAUGGAGGGGGAUAACUACUGGAAACGGUAGCUAAUACCGCAUAACGUCGCAAGACCAAAGAGGGGGACCUUCGGGCCUCUUGCCAUCGGAUGUGCCCAGAUGGGAUUAGCUUGUUGGUGGGGUAACGGCUCACCAAGGCGACGAUCCCUAGCUGGUCUGAGAGGAUGACCAGCCACACUGGAACUGAGACACGGUCCAGACUCCUACGGGAGGCAGCAGUGGGGAAUAUUGCACAAUGGGCGCAAGCCUGAUGCAGCCAUGCCGCGUGUAUGAAGAAGGCCUUCGGGUUGUAAAGUACUUUCAGCGGGGA